rnacentral:rRNA from 1 species
GACGAACGCUGGCGGCGUGCUUAACACAUGCAAGUCGGGCGGAAAGGCCCUUCGGGGUACUCGAGCGGCGAACGGGUGAGUAACACGUGAGUAACCUGCCCCAGACUUUGGGAUAACCCUCGGAAACGGGGGCUAAUACCGGAUACGACACAGCUUCGCAUGGGGUCUGUGUGGAAAGUUUUUCGGUUUGGGAUGGGCUCGCGGCCUAUCAGCUUGUUGGUGGGGUGAUGGCCUACCAAGGCGACGACGGGUAGCCGGCCUGAGAGGGCGACCGGCCACACUGGGACUGAGACACGGCCCAGACUCCUACGGGAGGCAGCAGUGGGGAAUAUUGCACAAUGGGCGGAAGCCUGAUGCAGCGACGCCGCGUGAGGGAUGACGGCCUUCGGGUUGUAAACCUCUUUCAGCAGGGACGAAGCGUAAGUGACGGUACCUGCAGAAGAAGCGCCGGCCAACUACGUG